GGAUUGAACGCUGGCGGCAGGCCUAACACAUGCAAGUCGAGCGGUAGAGAGGUGCUUGCAUCUCUUGAGAGCGGCGGACGGGUGAGUAAUGCCUAGGAAUCUGCCUAGUGGUGGGGGAUAACGUUCGGAAACGGACGCUAAUACCGCAUACGUCCUACGGGAGAAAGCGGGGGACCUUCGGGCCUCGCGCCAUUAGAUGAGCCUAGGUCGGAUUAGCUAGUUGGUGAGGUAAUGGCUCACCAAGGCGACGAUCCCGUAACUGGUCUGAGAGGAUGAUCAGUCACACUGGAACUGAGACACGGUCCAGACCUCCGUACGGGAGCAGCGAGUGGGGAAUAGUUAGGACAAGUGGGACGAAAGCCUGAUCCAGCCAUCGCCGCGUGUCGGUAGAAGAACGGUCUUACGGAUUUAGUAAAGCUAACGUUUUAAGGUGGGAAGGUAAGGUUU
rnacentral:rRNA from 1 species